AAAAAAAUCAUUCAUAUUCGAGAAAUUCCACAUACCCAUUCAUAGUUCGAUUCCUUCAUUCAUUCAUUCAAUCAUAACCAACCAUGUACAUGGCAUAUGAAUAACUUGAGGUUUCUAAGAUGCAAAGAGAGGUCUUUUUUUUUUUUUUUGCUACAAGAAACACUAGUUUUCAUUCAUUGCAAAUCAUAAGAUUAUCCAAAAAAAU
rnacentral:lncRNA from 1 species